GUCAGAGUAACAUAGUGGUUUGAGUGCUGGACUACAACUCUGGAGACCAGGGUUCAAUUCCCAGCUCAGCCA